rnacentral:rRNA from 1 species
GAUGAACGCUGGCGGCGUGCCUAACACAUGCAAGUCGAGCGGAUAUUCACAAGCAGUAAUGCGAGAGGAUAUUAGCGGCGGACGGGUGAGUAACACGUGAGCAAUCUGCCUUCUGCAGGGGAAUAACAUUGUGAAAACAGUGCUAAUACCGCAUGACGUGGCACCGGGGCAUCCCGGAGCCACCAAAGGAGCAAUCCGGCAGGAGAUGAGCUCGCGUCCGAUUAGGUAGUUGGUGAGGUAACGGCCCACCAAGCCUACGAUCGGUAGCCGAACUGAGAGGUUGAUCGGCCACAUUGGGACUGAGACACGGCCCAGACUCCUACGGGAGGCAGCAGUGGGGAAUAUUGGGCAAUGGGGGAAACCCUGACCCAGCAACGCCGCGUGAAGGACGAAGGCCUUCGGGUUGUAAACUUCUUUGAUCAGGGACGAAAAAAAUGACGGUACCUGAAGAACAAGCCACGGCUAACUACGUGCCAGCAGCCGCGGUAAUAC